rnacentral:rRNA from 1 species
GGAAUAUUGCACAAUGGGGGAAACCCUGAUGCAGCAACGCCGCGUGAGUGAUGACGGUCUUCGGAUUGUAAAGCUCUGUCUUCAGGGACGAUAAUGACGGUACCUGAGGAGGAAGCCACGGCUAACUACGUGCCAGCAGCCGCGGUAAUACGUAGGUGGCAAGCGUUGUCCGGAUUUACUGGGCGUAAAGGGAGCGUAGGUGGAUAUUUAAGUGGGAUGUGAAAUACUCGGGCUUAACCUGGGUGCUGCAUUCCAAACUGGAUAUCUAGAGUGCAGGAGAGGAAAGUAGAAUUCCUAGUGUAGCGGUGAAAUGCGUAGAGAUUAGGAAGAAUACCAGUGGCGAAGGCGACUUUCUGGACUGUAACUGACACUGAGGCUCGAAAGCGUGGGGAGCAAACA